GACGAACCGUGCGAACGUUGUUCGGAUUCACUGGGCUUAAAGGGCGCGUAGGCGGUACGCCAAGUCUGGGGUGAAAUCUUUCGGCUCAACCGGAAAAUUGCCUGGGAUACUGGCGUGCUCGAGGGAGGUAGGGGCAGCGGGAACUGCCGGUGGAGCGGUGAAAUGCGUUGAUAUCGGCAGGAACGCCGGUGGCGAAAGCGCGUUGCUGGACCUCUUCUGACGCUGAGGCGCGAAAGCUAGGGGAGCAAACGGG
rnacentral:rRNA from 1 species